rnacentral:rRNA from 1 species
AUGCGGUGUGCAUGCAUGGUAGAGUGGCGCACGGCACCAUCGGGCUGCUCGAGAUCCGCGUCGUUCGGCCCGGCACACGUCCGAGGAGUUGAUGGACUACGCUAUCUCUCAUGGCGCCUCCAUCAACCAAUACAAGGUGCCCUGGUGCUUGAUGUUCCCGCCGAUCAUCGAGCUGCGCAUGCUCCACUCGCGCGUGGUGUCCAUCCAGUUUAG